CUACAUGAUGAUUUUAUACACACUUUUCUGUUCCCGCGAACCCUGAGCGCAGAACUAACAUGCAUCACCAUCUGACC
rnacentral:snoRNA from 1 species